AAAGAACAAAAAAGACGUUUAAGGUUUUAACCCGCUUCGGCCACCUCCCGAGUCCCCACGUGUUUGAUGCAAAAAAAAAAAAAACAAAAAACAAAAACGACGAGAAUGAACAUCAUCGCUGCGCCCCAGCCUUGCGGGGGCCGUCGUCCCGACGCGGGCAGCGGGUGUUUGCCCCGGCCGAGGUCCCACCCCGCCCCGGGGUCUCCCUGCGCUGCCUUUGUGUUGGCGGGUCAGGCACCCCCGCGGCUUCACCGGGCGGGUGGUCGGCGCGGUCCCGGCCUCAGCGGAGACAGACCCCGCCCUGUCAGCUCACCCCGAGGUCUGGGCCUUCUGGAGGCUGCUAGCUAUUCACACAGCAGGGCUGAUGAAAGUGUCGGUCUGCCAGAGCCACGUUGGUUCCCGAUCACAAAUGACACAAUCGCAUUGUGCUGGGCCCUUCUCUGGACUCUCUCAACCUUGUUCCAACGGAGGACAUCUAAGCCUGGGAAUUUCAAAUAUGUGGCAGAUACUGAUGGGAGAGAGGAGCUGCCUUAGUCAAACUCUUUUGAGAAAUGUCAAGUGACAACAAAAGGCAAGACUACUUUUUCUUUGCGUGACAAUUCUUCCAACAGUGAAAUGUUGAAUAGCAGGUUAUGACCAGUCGUGGGAGCAGAGGUGGAGCUGAAGUGGAAAUCAGCUGAUCAGAUGUGAGGGUCCCAGGAGGCCUGUCCAGGACAGGAACUAAGCAUGUUUGGCCAGAAACAACACAGUGACUCCCAGUGUGAAGCACGGAGCUACAGCAGCCAUCUUAGGACCGUGUGGGGAGCUGGCCUAGGACAAACCAGUACUCUGAAGGAAAAAUGUCUGCUUUUAUGCCUGGCCUCACUAUAAAAAUCAGGUAAGUAACAUGGAGAAUAGGGGCUACCAAGAAACUACUCACACAGGCUAACUGGGAUUACUGGAGACCACGGAGCUUUUGGUGACUUCUUCUGACCUCUGCUGGACACACAUGGAAUUGCAUGGCCCUCACGUCCUUCAAAACAACCGGCGGAAUUAGCGUUUUAGAGUUGAAGUUUACAGAGUGUCUCAUCUAAAUCUCUCACAUCACAGAUGAAGUAACUAAGGCCCCACGGAUUUCUGAAACUCAUUCAAGGCCACUCAGUGACACAGUGGCACAUUGAGGACCAGCACCUAGAAAUGUUUUAUCUCCCAAUAAGACAUGGAUAUGCAUCCACUG